rnacentral:rRNA from 1 species
UGGGCAAUCUGCCCUUCACUCUGGGACAAGCCCUGGAAACGGGGUCUAAUACCGGAUAACACUCUGUCCCUCAUGGGACGGGGCUAAAAGCUCCGGCGGUGAAGGAUGAGCCCGCGGCCUAUCAGCUUGUUGGUGGGGUAACGGCUCACCAAGGCUUCGACGGGUAGCCGGCCUGAGAGGGCGACCGGCCACACUGGGACUGAGACACGGCCCAGACUCCUACGGGAGGCAG